ACCUGCAAGUCGAACGGCAGCGCGGGGCAACCUGGCGGCGAGUGGCGAACGGGUGAGUAAUAUAUCGGAACGUGCCCUGGAGUGGGGGAUAACGCGGCGAAAGUUGCGCUAAUACCGCAUACGAUCUAAGGAUGAAAGCAGGGGACCGCAAGGCCUUGUGCUCCUGGAGCGGCCGAUAUCUGAUUAGCUAGUUGGUGGGGUAAAGGCCUACCAAGGCAUCGAUCAGUAGCUGGUCUGAGAGGACGACCAGCCACACUGGAACUGAGACACGGUCCAGACUCCUACGGGAGGCAGCAGUGGGGAAUUUUGGACAAUGGGCGCAAGCCUGAUCCAGCAAUGCCGCGUGAGUGAAGAAGGCCUUCGGGUUGUAAAGCUCUUUUGUCAGGGAAGAAACGGUGGGGGCUAAUAUCCCCUGCUAAUGACGGUACCUGAAGAAUAAGCACCGGCUAACUACGUGCCAGCAGCCGCGGUAAUACGUAGGGUGCAAGCGUUAAUCGGAAUUACUGGGCGUAAAGCGUGCGCAGGCGGUUUUGUAAAAUCUGUCGUGAAAUCCCCGGGCUCAACCUGGGAAUUUGCGAUGGAAACUGGCAGGCUAGAAUCUGGCAAAGGGGGGUAAAAAUCCCCGUGUACCAAUGAAAUGCCUAAAGAUGUGGGGGAACACCCGAUGGCGAAGGCACCCCCUUGGGUCAAGAUUGAC
rnacentral:rRNA from 1 species